UUUAAAGCCAUAACAUCCAGGCUGUGAGCUGUUGCAGGUCUCUUCACGGUGGUCCAACUACAUUUUAAAGCCAUAACAUCCAGGCUGUGAGCUGUUGCAGGUCUCUUCACGGUGGUCCAACUACAUUUUAAAGCCAUAACAUCCAGGCUGUGAGCUGUUGCAGGUCUCUUCACGGUGGUCCAACUACAUUUUAAAGCCAUAACAUCCAGGCUGUGAGCUGUUGCAGGUCUCUUCACGGUGGUCCAACUACAUUUUAAAGCCAUAACAUCCAGGCUGUGAGCUGUUGCAGGUCUCUUCACGGUGGUCCAACUACAUUUUAAAGCCAUAACAUCCAGGCUGUGAGCUGUUGCAGGUCUCUUCACGGUGGUCCAACUACAUUUUAAAGCCAUAACAUCCAGGCUGUGAGCUGUUGCAGGUCUCUUCACGGUGGUCCAACUACAUUUUAAAGCCAUAACAUCCAGGCUGUGAGCUGUUGCAGGUCUCUUCACGGUGGUCCAACUACAUUUUAAAGCCAUAACAUCCAGGCUGUGAGCUGUUGCAGGUCUCUUCACGGUGGUCCAACUACAUUUUAAAGCCAUAACAUCCAGGCUGUGAGCUGUUGCAGGUCUCUUCACGGUGGUCCAACUACAUUUUAAAGCCAUAACAUCCAGGCUGUGAGCUGUUGCAGGUCUCUUCACGGUGGUCCAACUACAUUUUAAAGCCAUAACAUCCAGGCUGUGAGCUGUUGCAGGUCUCUUCACGGUGGUCCAACUACAUUUUAAAGCCAUAACAUCCAGGCUGUGAGCUGUUGCAGGUCUCUUCACGGUGGUCCAACUACAUUUUAAAGCCAUAACAUCCAGGCUGUGAGCUGUUGCAGGUCUCUUCACGGUGGUCCAACUACAUUUUAAAGCCAUAACAUCCAGGCUGUGAGCUGUUGCAGGUCUCUUCACGGUGGUCCAACUACAUUUUAAAGCCAUAACAUCCAGGCUGUGAGCUGUUGCAGGUCUUAACACAUUGAUGAUCCGCUUCUUGCUAUCCAGACCUUUGUUGUACUUCCCGGGAAGAGAAUAUGGCUGGUUUUUGAUGUCGCUCAAACCCUUUAUGAUAACAAGGGCCAUUUAGGUUACGCUGUCUAUCUCAGACAUGAUGCUUCUCUAUGAGGUGAACCUGAGUCUUUGUGAUAACGUAGGAUGUGACACACACACACACACCAGUCAGUCACUGCCAGGCCAAACUAGGUCUAUCUGUGUACAAUAAGAUGCAAAUGUAACCAUUUGAACAACGUGAUUUAUUCAUAAGGGAUUGAUAAGAAAGAAUAAAGAGAGAGAGGGACAGAG